UUUAAUUUUUGUGUCAUUGUGUUAUAAUAAUGUGGUUUGAGUGAGAAUGGUCCCAAUGGCUCAUAUCUGAAUGCUUAAUUGGCUGUGGAGUGGGAACUGUUUGAAGGGAUUAGAAGGUCUGGUCCUUGGGAGUUUAUAGUGGUGGUGGUCUUUGAGGUUUCACAGGCCUAUUUCAGGCCCUCUCUGUCUGUCUGCAGAUCAAGACAUAGCUUCUAUGGCUCCUGCACCAUUUCCCUGCCAUGAUGAUAAAAGAAUAAGCCUCUGAAACAAUAAGCAUAAAAGGAAGCAUUAAAUACUUCAUGAGAGUUGCCUGGGUCAUUGGUGGUGUUUCUUAGCAAUAGAACAGUGACCUGAGACAAAUACUAUUUGGAAGUUCUCUACCACAAUCUGCUAAGUUAUUUAAAUGAGUUAGAACUCUGAAUGCAGAAGCAUGAAGUGCUUUUCUGGGGUAUGUAUUAGUUGCCUUUAGUGGCUCUCUAGUCACCAUUUCUAGCAUCAUGGUACAGAUUACAUGUUAUCAAGACGUUUUAUACAGUUUUUGUUAGCAUAUGUUAAGCAUAAUGGUUCUUGUUGACAUUUUUCUCACAUGUGUAAAGGACACUGUGGUCAUAUUCAACUCUCCUUUUGCCAGGACUUGUUUUCAAGCAUGUACUUUUAUUCUUUUAUCUUCAUCCAAGUAGAUAAAUUUUCCCUAUUGUUGUAUACAUAUUAUGAUUUGUGUAGUUAACUGAUCCUGGUGUGGAUUUUCCAAUGGUGGGAACUUCGUUCAUAGUUACCUACUUUUCCUGUUUAAGCAUUGCAAGGUAAAUUUGUGCCAUGUGUCAGAUCCCACAGAAUUCUCAAGCAAAUAUGACCCAGUUAGUGUCACAAGAAGAAAGUGGAAUCAGUGUGUACCUUGUGUGUGUUCCUCUAAUUAAUGUUACUCCUGUAAUUUUAUUUGGCUGAGAAUUUUGAGAGGAUUGUCUGGUUUUUUUUUUUCUUUGUUGUUGUUGUUGUUGUUGUUUUGAAGACAUGUUGUGGGAACUGGUCAGCAGUUAUUACACUCAAGACAGGAGUUAGUAAUUCAGAGUUUUAUUUAACCGAAGUUCAAACUCAGUCGCUGGAUUUCUUGGAUUGAUGAAACAAUGAUCAAAAGGUAGUAAAUCUUUACAACUGUCAUUUUAGUCUUUUCCUGUGUCUUGAGUUCCUGUUAUUGUAUCCUUAGGUGGUGUCUUUGAUGUAACUCAGAGGUGUCUUGCAGAUGUGUCCCAUGGGGAAACCCACAGGUGCUUUAUUUCAGAGUUGAGUUUUCUGUCUGGACAGUAGUCACUGACCUUAAUCAAGUUUGCAGAAACUGUGCCAGAAAGGGUUCUCCCAAUAUGUUCCUCGUGGUUCUGAGGAGACCUCAGUGCUGGCCACACUUCAGCCAUCAGAAUGUGAGCAUACACGUGCUAACUGCUCGUUUGUGGUUUUCAGUGAUAUGUGUGGACAUUAAUUUGAAUAUUUCAUGUUACCAUGCAGAGAUCUGCAGUUCAGUAUGCCCUCAUCUCAAAUGUGAGCAAAACUGGGUGCCAGCUUAUGAGUAUGAGAAUUUGUGAAUGGAAUUAAUUAACAUGUGACUGGGAUGACUGAUGUACAAGGGGCCUCAGGUGACCAGGAGUGUGCUCCUCCCAACUCCACACAUGAAGACAGAAACUAGAACUUAAAACUUUAUUUGAAGUUUUGCUUUCCUCACUGGCAAAGGUCAGGAGGGUUUCCAUGGCUCUAGUCUAGGAACAUCUCACUCCCCAUCAUCCUUUCUGACUGAGGCCUGAGUGAGAUACUUAAGUAGAAGGGCUUUGGCAACAUCAUUAAAUAAGAAAGGGACUUGAGAGGCUUUCAGGAUAAUAGUGAUUAAAAUUGUAGAAUAGGGGAUGUCCAAGUCAUGUUAAACGAAAUACUCCCUGGUGCAUGUAUGAUUCAAUUUCUUACUUGGUGUGUACUUAUCUACGUUCCUUUUAGGGUUAAAGUGUGGACAGAGGUGAGAAACAGGAUAGGCACGAGCCCACUUCCCCCUCAACCAGGGCUGUAGUGUUUAACACAGAAGGCUGCUUGUGCAGUAUGGUAAGGAGGUCGAGCUUUGCACAGUUUACAAUGGUUGGAAGCUCUUGCCUUGGUGCAGAGCAUGCUCCCCUGCUUGGUGCUGCCUUUCUCUGGCCUGCUUAGCCUUCUGCCAUGUGUUUUUCCAUGCUCAGUGAGUUAAAAUUAGUUUUGUUGGGAAGAAAAGCUAAAUAAAGGAAAAUAAGUGCUUU
rnacentral:sRNA from 1 species